GGAUCAUUACCGAGUUUACAACUCCCAAACCCAUGUGAACAUACCUACUGUUGCUUCGGCGGGAUUGCCCCGGGCGCCUCGUGUGCCCCGGAUCAGGCGCCCGCCUAGGAAACUUAAUUCUUGUUUUAUUUUGGAAUCUUCUGAGUAGUUUUUACAAAUAAAUAAAAACUUUCAACAACGGAUCUCUUGGUUCUGGCAUCGAUGAAGAACGCAGCGAAAUGCGAUAAGUAAUGUGAAUUGCAGAAUUCAGUGAAUCAUCGAAUCUUUGAACGCACAUUGCGCCCGCCAGUAUUCUGGCGGGCAUGCCUGUCUGAGCGUCAUUUCAACCCUCAUGCCCCUAGGGCGUGGUGUUGGGGAUCGGCCAAAGCCCGCGAGGGACGGCCGGCCCCUAAAUCUAGUGGCGGACCCGUCGUGGCCUCCUCUGCGAAGUAGUGAUAUUCCGCAUCGGAGAGCGACGGAGCCCCUGCCGUUAAACCCCCAACUUUCCAAGGUUGACCUCAGAUCAGGUAGGAA
rnacentral:rRNA from 1 species